rnacentral:tRNA from 1 species
GUCCUGGUGGCACAGUGGUUAAGUGCUCGGCUGCUAACUGAAAGAUUGGUGGUUCAAACCCACCCAACGGUU